CCGUCGGCCGCACCGCGCCGGGAUGGCCGCCGCCCGCCGCCUGCCGCCGCCGCCUCCUCCUCCCCUCAACGCCGCCCGGGCUGCUCCGCCGCCGCUCCGCUCCGCGCUGCCCGCAGCCAGCGGCCCCCGCCCGCCCCUCUCGCGAGACUUCGCCGCCCUCCUCCCUCCUUCCUUCCCUCCGCGGGAGGAGCGGCGGGAGGAGGCCGGGGCGGGGCCGGGCUGUGAGGGGGGACGGCGUGAGGGGACGGCGAGGCCUCGGGUCCCUCGUGCUGAGAUUACAGCUGGAGGAAUUCUAAACAGUCCGAGUCUCCUUGUCGUGGUGUUCAAGUGCAUUGUGCUCCUGUCUGAACAGAGGAAAUCGCUGAGUGGCAUCGUUUGGUUUCUGCAGCCUACGGAGCGGUGAGGAGUGAUCUGCCCAUGCGGCCCUAAAGUGGAAUUAAGGAUCGAGACCUUCUGAAUCUUGGUCUUGUACUUCUCCUGCAGCCGAGGUGCGUUUGAAGCUCACGGAUUAUGAGGGUGAAAGCUUGGGUCAGUGAGGUACAUAGAGCUGCCCUAACAGAGAGUUUGGGCUCCCUUCAUUACGCACGUAAAAAAAAGAUAACGGUACCUCUAAGUAAAAAGCCUUGGGGUGUAGUGGUAGCUGCUGGAAAAAAUGUGGGUAAUGCCUUGGUAUGAACUGUCAGGUCGUUUGUUUAACGCAAUAGAUUUGGGUUUGAUAUGUGCUCAUUGACCACUUCAAAAGUAAACAGUUUUGUCUGUGUCCCACCAGCAUGGAAGAAGUCUACAGACAUCGUUAAGUAGCAGGCCUAUAAAAAUGGCACUGUUUGUUGUUGCCAGCUGAACUGGGCAUGUCUGACAGGGCUGCCUAGGCCUGACCUAUCAGGCAUGCUCUUACUGCCUUGUCAGCCAAUUGCAGUGGGCAUCUGGGAUGUUACAUCAGCUUAGCUCAGUUUGCAAACUUACUGAUGCAAAUUUAGCUUUUGUUUUAAGGAACUAAACCAGUUUAUGUAUGCCUGCAUCUUGGAUCUGCACCGGUGUAGCCAUCAGGUAGCUGUAUGCAUUAGCACCAUCUGAAGGAGGUGCUAGGACAUCAGUAAAUAGAAAUUACAAAUUGCACGGCGGUUCAGCUGACAGGCAGAACUGGUUUCAGUGCGUUGUUGCAGUGUGCUGCUGCAGACCUGGGCUGGGGGUAGACCCAGACAGCAUUGCAGUGCAGACAGGACCUGUGUGCAUCAGCACUGCCUGAUAUUGUAGGAGAGGAAGUCGUGAACAAUACCGUGUCCAGCGGAAGCUGUGGCAAGAAUUUAUCCAAGGCUCGUUGUAAUUACUCAAGCUGGGAAUUUGGCCAGUGCAUUGGGGUUGACACCCCUACUUCUUUAGGAGCGUCAUGGUUUAUUUUUUUAAAUGACUUUAAGUGAUGAGAAGCUUGGCUGUCUGUCUCAGCAGAACAGCAAUGCCUCUUGCAGUAUAAACUUCUUACAACACUAAGGAGCUGCUUCAGAACUAACUGGGAGUGAUGGGGCCUGGCUCAGUAAUCACUGCUAAAUAAAUACUCUCAGUAGAUAAGGCAGAUAAGAGUGUGAUUAGGGCAGUUUCAGCUGCUGUAAUCACAGUCGUACCUUCCUUAGCCUGCAGUCCCCACACUGCUCUACUCUGACCUUUCUUAAGCGAGCAAAUGUAAAUUUCAGAAUAAAUCACAGAACCUGAACCAAUGAAAUUUGGUUAUUAAUUAUAAUUGCAGUUAUGAAUCACAGUUGUCUCUGCUUCCAUUCUAGGGAAUUUGCCAUCGUGUAAGCAGAAUGUAAUUUACCCAAAUAUACAUUUUUUACCAUUUCAUGAAACUCUUAUGAUUCUGUUACGCCCUGAUUUAGAAACCAACUUUCACCUUGUUUUCUGCUUGUAAAGAUAAGCAGUUGUGUCUUUUAGCACAUAAAUAGUUGUGCAAUGCACGAGUGAGGAACUGCUUUCUUUCAUUUGCUCAUCAAACGUGCCAUCCUUCCAGUAGAAGCUCAGACCAUUAUCGUGGUUUACAGAGUUAUACAGGAAAGACAUGUUCUAGAGAAAGGCUGGUCAGAAUAGAUGAAAUAGCCCUACAAAAGCAAAUCAUAACAACCUGUAUCAGGCAGUGUCCUGGCAGUUUGUCAUAAUGACAGAAAUGAAGCAAUACCAACACUGUUACACAACCACGUUUGUGUUAUAAGAAAAUAACAGUACUGCACUGCGCUCUUACCUUUUAUCAGAGAAAUAGGAUUGCUCUUUGCCGUCUGCUUCUGGUUGUCCCGUGAUUCAAGACAGCAGUGGUGUCCAUGAAGAAAAGGGGAAAGAGACACAGGAGGAGGAAGUAGUGACCGAGGUCCUGUGGGGAAGCAGUGAGCAGAAUCUCGGCCUUCUGACUGUCCCACUCUGCCCUCGGGGCAACCAGACAGAAGUGGAAGACUGGCUUGCCCUCUGACUCAACAGCUCUUCCUUCCUCAGCAGCUGGCACGCUGGGCAGUUACAAAUAAGUGCCAGUGUGCCACUUGCAUCUGUGUCAGCUUCCCAAGGGGCUCUAGGUAGGCUUGUCUUCUGCUGGAGAAGGCCAGAUGGAAGGAUCUCUGCAAUGCAUUUCUUUGGGAGCGUUAUUAGAACUUGGAAAGAUUCUCUUUUUACCAUGUUACUUUCCUCUGAUUUCUUUCAUAAAUUGUGUAACUUGAGGACACCCAGAGAUUUGUGCCCUUCUCUGCGAGAGACUAACAACAAGCCUAUGACAUAUGUGCCAAAUGAACUUAUUUCUGAGGCAGCUGAUGUCUGAGAAGUGCUGGCAGUGUGUGUCCUUCCACCAGGUUCAGCAUGAAGCCUUGCAUCUUCAUCUGAGCAGCACCUCCAGUUCUGAUGUCCUCGUGCUUCUCUGCCUCCAACACCUGAGUGCUGUUUAGGUGGCUGUCAGCAAUUGUCCUGUUGUCAUACACCAAUGCUAGCAUGCACUGGAAGAGUACCAGUUCAUUCUUGGCCUGGAGGAAUAACUGAUGGAAGGAAACAGCACAGGAAGAGACUCUUGUCUUGGUUCUGGUCUUUGGAUGGAUGGAUACAGAGAGGCCUGUGGCACUGAGGGAUGAAAGGUGACAAACAGUGUGAAACCUGUCCCAAGAAACUCGUUGUAAUCAUGCAACCUUCAGGUGGUUUUCUUUCUCCCAAAAGAAGCUGCCAUGUGUCACUUGGCCCUCUAGCAGUUGUCGCUCGCCCUGUCUACUGGAUAGAAGUAUUAAACAAUUAUUUCUCUGCUUAGAAAGCUUAAUACAAUGUUGUAGCAGUGAGGCUACAACACUCUAUAUAUAUA